rnacentral:misc_RNA from 1 species
UCAAACUUGGUCAUUUAGAGGAAGUAAAAGUCGUAACAAGGUUUCCGUAGGUGAACCUGCGGAAGGAUCAUUAUUGAAUUUACUGGAUGGGUUGUCGCUGGCUCCUUGGGGCAUGUGCACACCUGUCUUUGUUCUAUUCAUCCACCUGUGCACCAAUUGUAGUCAUUUGAGGGCUGAGAGCACUUAAAUUUGUCAGUUGAAAGACUGGAUAAUAAGAGGUAUUGCAUUGUGCAAAUAAAGUACAAGCUUCUCCUCAGCCAAGUUGUGAUCUCCCUUGAAGGACUAUGUUUUUCAUCUAUAAACCACAUUGUAUGUUUGUAGAAUGUAUUCAAAUGGGCCUCUGUGCCUAUAUAAAAUCUAUACAACUUUCAGCAACGGAUCUCUUGGCUCUCGCAUCGAUGAAGAACGCAGC